rnacentral:tRNA from 1 species
ACCUGGCUGGCUCAGUCGGUAGGGCGUGUGACUCUUGAUCUCAGGGUUGUGAGUUUGAGCCCCAAGUUGGGUG